rnacentral:tRNA from 1 species
GGGCAUGUGGCUUAGUGGCAAAGUGCUUGCCUAGCAUGCAUGAAGCCCUGGGUUCGAUUCCUCAGUACCA